rnacentral:lncRNA from 1 species
ACUUACUCACGUGUCUCAUUCUGAAUUUUCGGUCAUUUCCUGACGGCGGAAUUUCGCGUGUUGGAGAAACACGUAAUACUUACUCCUGGUGUCAGACUGACGAAUUACCUACAUACUUUGCGGGAUCCUUACAUUCGUUAACAAAAUUAGUUUGAAGCAUUUUUCAAAUAAAAUAAUAAUUUUUCAAGGACAGAGCGUUUAAAAUCGAGGAAAUAGCAUAAUUAUGUAGCGUAAACUUUCUCCUAGCUGCUCAGUGAAUGCAGCUGUGUAAAAUCCACCGCGCAAGCAUCACGCACAGCUUAGCAACAUUGACAGUCGUUUCGUGCAGACCAUUGCAGUAUGGUUCGUUUAGAAAUAAAAGUGGGAAGGGUUUCUGCUGGUUCAAAUCUUCACUGCAUCAACACAAAUGUGAUUUAUUACUUUUAGAGUAAACAAAAAAUACAAAAAGUUGAUUUGAAUCUGCAGUUUAAAUUUUCUGUCUAACGCGGUAUCUGGGAAAAUCGUCUGUCAUACUUUAGAUGAAUCACUCUAUAUAUAAGCAAUCUUUUAUAUGUAAAAUUACUGCAAAGCAUUAAAAACUUGCAAAAUUAAGAUUUUAGCAAUUGACUAAUUAAGCAUAAAUGCCACUUUUUUAUAUUCUUUGUUUUGUUAAUCAAUCAAAGCCUUUAUUGAAUAUUUAUAGCUAAUAUUUACAAUUUGCUUAUGUUUUUUUCUAUUUGCUUAUUAUUUAUUUAUUUAUUUAAAUAAAGAUUAGAGGGCUUACUCGAUGGUGUUACCCUUAGAAGUUGAAAAGAAGUGAGAAGAACUGAGAUAGUCCAGGACAGAUCACAAAGUCCCACCAUAGGAAGUGUGGUGGACCGCUAGAGAAGGAUGUAUAAUGGAAAUUAUACAGAAGUUAUACUUGCAAUUUUGUCGGUUUUUAUCUGAAAAGAAAAAAAACAAUACAAUGCGUACAAUACAAUCCAGUCAAGAUAUGCCAUCUCCAAAGUUAGGAGACAGGCAAAAACUUGCUGACACACAACUAAAACUGCGUAAAAUACAAGGAUAUCUUGGUCGACAAAACAGGGUUUCACUCAGAACAGAUUAGUUCAGGUAUUAAACACUUACAGCCAGGAAGCAUGCAAUCCGAAGGGAAUCUACCUUAAACAAGGUUGGAAUCCGUACGGAAGUCCACUGCAGUAGAGAUUGUUGAAGGGUUGCAGUUGAAAGGAUUAGUCCAGUGGUUGCUGGUAUCAAGUUGUCUUCAA